GUUUUUAACUUGGUAACCGUUUGUGAAAUUUCAAUGUUCUUUUAUCUUUAGAUUGGGGCAUCGUUGCUCUCAAGGCUGUUUGUUUGCUGUUAUUAAAUGUUAUCGCGUACCGUUGCGCCUGCGUUGUCCGUGAGCCUAUCUGUCUCACUGCCAAAGCGACCUGCGCGCUCAGCUUAGCUCAUAGCCUCAGUUUCAUUUGUGCCUGCACGCGGUGCGGUACCCCGGGACUAAAUCACAUGCGGUUUAUUUGGAUUUUCUUAUAAUCGUCGUCAUUUUGUGACAAUAAAAGUGUUUGGUGUUCCGGUAAUAACUCAUCGUUCAUGACGAGUUUGUAAAGUGCGUGUUUGUUUAUUUGCUCGCGGGUGAGGUGAUCAUUGUUCAGCUUCUACUCUAAGACGGGGCACUACUAUCUUUACUCAUGUCCACAACAGCAUUACAGAUACACCUAUACUGUACUUUCUUGAAUUAUCGGAUACAAUGUUACAGCACUUGUACCUGGCAGUCCGAUAAGCUGUACACUGGUAAGUUUAUAAUUCAAUUAUAUUUUUCGGUCAAAUUUACAUUUGCUUAAAGUUGUGUGUGUGCGCCGUAAUACUCGUUGCGCCAGGAAUUGUAGUUUUUUUGUUACAACACGCGAACGCGGUGUGACAAUAAGUUCGGAAUAAUUUUCCCAGAUGCGGAAUUUAAUUCUGUAUUCCCUGUAUAGAAAUUUAUUGCAAGAAAAUUCCGGAACACGAGUUAUAUUGAAAGUUGUGUGUGUGCGCCGUAGUACUAGUUGCGUUAG